AGAGUUUGAUCCUGGCUCAGGAUGAACGCUGGCGGCGUGGAUAAGGCAUGCAAGUCGAGCGGUCCUGCGUCGCUCCGCAAGGAGCUAUGCAGGAUAGCGGCGAACGAGUUAGUAACACGUAGGUACCAACCCCAAAGUGGGACACAGCUCCGCGAAAGCGGGGGUAAUUUCCCAUGGUCUCGCAAGAGUAAAGUCGCAAGACGCUCUGGGAUGGGCCUGCGGCCUAUCAGCUAGUUGGUGAGGUAAUGGCUCACCAAGGCUAUGACGGGUAGGGGGUGUGAGAGCACGACCCCCAACGAUGGGACUGAGAUACGGCCCAUACUCCUACGGGAGGCAGCAGUCGAGAAUAUUUCACAAUGGGCGAAAGCCUGAUGAAGCGACGCCGCGUGCGGGAUGAAGGCCUUCGGGUCGUAAACCGCUUUUAUGGAGGAAGAACCCUGAGAGCAAUCGAAGGGUGACGGUACUCCAUGAAUAAGGGGGGACAAACUCUGUGCCAGCAGUAGCGGUAAAACAGAGCCCUCGAGCGUUAUCCGGAUUUAUUGGGUGUAAAGGGUCCGUAGCCGUCGCGUAAAGUUUUUCGUUAAAUUUCCAGGGCUCAACCUUGGAACUGCGAAGAAUACUCGCGCGAUUGAGGGUGUUAGAGGUUGAUAGAACUCUUGGUGGAGGGGUGAAAUCCGUUGAUAUCAAGAGGAAUACCAAAGGCGAAAGCAUUCAACUAAGAUAACCCUGACGGUGAUGGACGAAAGCGUGGGUAGCGACAAGGAUUAGAUACCCUUUUAGUCCACGCCCUAAACUAUGGAUGCUAGCUAUGUGAAGUGUCGACCCUUCACGUGGCGAAGCCAACGCGUUAAGCAUCCCACCUGGGAAGUACGGUCGCAAGACUAAAACUCAAAGGAAUAGGCGGGGACCCACACAAGCGGUGGAACAUGUGGCUUAAUUCGUCAACAACCGAGGAACCUUACCAGGGUUAGAAACUCAACUGAAAUCCAGAUGAAAGUUUGGACCUUCCACAAGAACAGUUGGGCAGGUGCUGCACGGCUGUCGUCAGCAUGUACCUUGAGGCGCUCCGUUCAAUCGGGUAACAUGCGCAACCCCUAUUCUGUGUUUCAAGUGUCACAGAAAACUGCGAGAGACAAUCUCGAGGAAGGUGGGGAUGACGCCAAGUCAGCGUGGCCCUUUGAUAUCCUGGGCGGCACACAUGUUACAAUGCAGCAGACAACGGGAUGCAAGACCGUAAGGUUAAGCCAAUCUCUUAAACUGUUGCUCAGUUCGGAUUGAGGUCUGAAACUCGACCUCAUGAAGCCGGAAUCGCUAGUAAUCGCCAAUCAGCCAUGUGGCGAUGAAUAUGUUCCUGGGUCCUGCACUCACCGCCCGUCAAGCCAAGCGAGCUGGGAAUACCCGAAGUACCCUUACAGGUACGAAGGUAGGUUCAGUGAGAGGGGCUAAGUCGUAACAAGGCACGCGUAGCGGAAGCUGUGCGUG
rnacentral:rRNA from 1 species